CUCAGUCAUCCGAGCUCUGAGCCGCAGGGUGGCUCUCCGUGCCACCCCCGUCGCCUGCCCUCCCUCCCUCACCCUGCUGCUCACAAUCUCUGGCCAAAGCCCUCCGCUCCCCCAGGGCCUGGACCGCCAUCUCCCUCUGCCUGGGCCUGGCUGGCCCUCUCUGCAGGUCUGACUCUCCGAUGCCACCUGCCGCUUACAUCCAUAGAGGCGGCAGACACACCAGGCGGUAGGGGAAUCCGGUGUGUCCCGGUAGGCAGCCCCGUCCCCACCCCUAUCCUCAAGGUUCCAGGAAGCUGACAUUCUAGAGGCCUCUGCAGAAGUGCACUCACUCUUUUGGAGACAGCUGAUGGGGCAGAGCCCAAGUCAUGGACUUGUCAAAUUCUUCUAGCAGGGCCUUUUCGCCAAUUAAUUUUACCAACCUUUAAGUGACAGGGAUUAAGGGUAGAGGGACUCUAGGGACUGUGGCCCUUCUUCCUCCCUUCCCCUGGCCUCCAUCCUGUCACCAGCUUUCCUGCUCUUUAAUUAUUGAGGAGCUGCAGGGUUGGAAGUUCUCCGGUUUAAGGCGGCUGCAGAGGCAGUGGUGGGGGCUGGGUUGCUUACCCAGCCUCUGCCCAGGAGCUAGAGAGCUGGAGCCAGGAAGGCUGGUGCCCAGGCCACGAAGAAGGCCCGGCAAUGGUGCAUCUCUCCCCCACCAACAUGCCUUUCCCUAGCCCUUGCCUCUCCCACUCCUCCAACUCCAGAUCCUCUUGAGUAAAAAUAUUAGAGUACUGGAGAAAGAGAAACUUACAGAUAAGCUCACUUUGCAGUUAGUUAGUUCUCCUUCCCUUGUAAACAGUUUUAUUCAUUUUUAAGAAUCAUGCAGCAAUCCAUAAAUAUUGCAUUCUUGCUGUCCCCACUGUAGUGUGUCCAUAAGUGUACCCCAGGGAGAGGGGUACACAGAUGGCACAAGCAGUAUACACACGCACACACCAGGUGUGCAGACCAAAGCAAAGUGAGCAACCAGCGUGCCAGCCCCAGGUGGGCAGGAUCCUAACUCCCCAAGUGAGAUGCAUUAGAGUGUGGGGGUCUGUGUCCAAGAGAUGCCUCAGUGGGGGUGGAAACUCUGGUGGGAUGGAACUGGGCAGAACAGGGCUCCGUGAGGAAGCUGGGAUCACACCACCUGAAGGCCAUAGGGAGAGCACAGGCCUAGUGCAGCAGGAAAGAGCCCUGAGUCUCCAGAGUUAGGCUGUGCCCUGUGGGAGAAGCCAGGCCCCACGUCUUCUCUGUGGGUGAACCGUGGAAGUGACUAUGUGACUGUCUCCAGAUGAAGGACUGGGGCAAAUGGGUUGACCACUGACCUGUCCUAAUCAGGCUGACUGAGGACUAACUCCUUGGAUAGUGUAUUUCUGCCGGCCAGACAGCUAAAUGACAGCUAAGAGAAGGUGGGGGUGGAAGAGGAGAAAUUGGAACUGAGAAACAAAGGACAUUUCCAACCUAGGUGGAAAUGGGACGUGGGACUGAGGCCUUGAGGAAUCUUUCUGCGCCUCUCCCUAGGAGAGGACUGAGCACUUGCUGCGAGGAAGGACACCUCCAGGAAGGGGGUCCUGGCCACUGCGGCUACUGUUUACCUGAAUCUCCUUCAUCUCAGCUGUUUCCUCUCUCCUCCCAGG